UACAGAGGUCUCAAGCGUUGUUCGGAUUCACUGGGCGUAAAGCGCACGUAGGCGGACUCUUAAGUCGGCGGUGAAAUCCUGGAGCUCAACUCCAGAACUGCCUUCGAUACUGAGAGUCUCGAGUCCGGGAGAGGUGAGUGGAACUGCGAGUGUAGAGGUGAAAUUCGUAGAUAUUCGCAAGAACACCAGUGGCGAAGGCGGCUCACUGGCCCGGUACUGACGCUGAGGUGCGAAAGCGUGGGGAGCAAACAGG
rnacentral:rRNA from 1 species